rnacentral:lncRNA from 1 species
UAUUUCUGUGUUGCUUGAUUCUAAAUGUCCAAGGGAAUCCUGGGUUUCUAUUGACAUUUUUGUCUAUUGGAUUGCUACCCAUUUGGUCAGAUCUUUUCAACUCUCAACUUUUAAUUUUGUGCAUAGGAUUAGUCUCUUCAUCUUCUCCCCAUUUUUUAAUUUCAAAUCUCUCCCUCCCUUUUCAAAAUCUUCUUUGGUUGAAC